GGCCAAUGCUCAAACCACUGAGCUAUCCCUCCUCCUCACCCUGUGGUAACUGGACUUUUGGUUUGGGUGCCAUUUAGGGCUGCCAGGUCCCUGAAAAC